rnacentral:rRNA from 1 species
UACGUAGGGGGCAAGCGUUGUCCGGAUUUAUUGGGCGUAAGGAGCGUGUAGGCGGCCACACAGGUCAGCUGUGAAAACUCGAGGCUCAACCUCGAGACGUCGGUUGAAACCGUAUGGCUAGAGUCCGGAAGAGGAGAGUGGAAUUCCCGGUGUAGCGGUGAAAUGCGCAGAUAUCGGGAAGAACACCCGUGGCGAAGGCGGCUCUCUGGGACGGUACUGACGCUGAGACGCGAAAGCGUGGGGAGCGAACAGG